AGUGAACGCUGGCGGUAGGCCUAACACAUACAAGUCGAACGGCAGCACAGGAGAGCUUGCUCUCUGGGUGGCGAGUGGCGGACGGGUGAGGAAUACAUCGGAAUCUACCUUUUCGUGGGGGAUAACGUAGGGAAACUUACGCUAAUACCGCAUACGACCUACGGGUGAAAGUGGGGGACCGCAAGGCCUCACGCGAUUAGAUGAGCCGAUGUCCGAUUAGCUAGUUGGCGGGGUAAUGGCCCACCAAGGCGACGAUCGGUAGCUGGUCUGAGAGGAUGAUCAGCCACACUGGAACUGAGACACGGUCCAGACUCCUACGGGAGGCAGCAGUGGGGAAUAUUGGACAAUGGGCGCAAGCCUGAUCCAGCCAUACCGCGUGGGUGAAGAAGGCCUUCGGGUUGUAAAGCCCUUUUGUUGGGAAAGAAAUCCCGUCGAUUAAUACUCGGUGGGGAUGACGGUACCCAAAGAAUAAGCACCGGCUAACUUCGUGCCAGCCGCCGCAGUAAAAC
rnacentral:rRNA from 1 species